rnacentral:lncRNA from 1 species
CCUUCAGAGGGAGCUGGGCCCUGCUGAAGCCUUGAUUUCCGACUUCUAACCUCUAGCACUACCAAAAUGUAUCAGGAUUCAAUGCUUCUCACUUUACAGAGGAGGAAAAUGAUGCUCCCUGACUUCCCCAAGGCCACACCACCAGUGAAUGACAAACAGAGGAUGGCACAGAGUAACUGCCCCUCAUUUUCCAACGGAGCCAUGGGAGAAAAGGAGGGACCUCGAAGUGAUGGAGAGAUGACGCAGGCACUCCAUAAGCAACGGGGUAUUUCCCGAGCCCAGCUGUUUGCCCUUGAAAACUGAACAAGAGAACGAACCGCAGAACUGUAGUUACCACAUUGAGAAGUAGGUUUGACUCUGGAAGGAACUUCUAGAGUUUAAGACAACAUCCCCGUGUACUUGUACAACACUUUCUGAUUCACA